rnacentral:rRNA from 1 species
CAGUCGCCGCGGUAAUACGAAGGGUGCAAGCGUUAAUCGGAAUUACUGGGCGUAAAGCGUGCGUAGGCGGUUUGUUAAGUCUGUUGUGAAAUCCCCGGGCUCAACCUGGGAAUGGCAAUGGAUACUGGCAAGCUAGAGUGUGUCAGAGGAUGGUGGAAUUCCCGGUGUAGCGGUGAAAUGCGUAGAGAUCGGGAGGAACAUCAGUGGCGAAGGCGGCCAUCUGGGACAACACUGACGCUGAGGUGCGAAAGCGUGGGGAGCAAACAGGAUUAGAUACCCCCGUAGUCCCUGUCUCUUAUAC